rnacentral:rRNA from 1 species
CCUACGGGAGGCAGCAGUGAGGAAUAUUGGUCAAUGGACGAGAGUCUGAACCAGCCAAGUAGCGUGAAGGAUGACUGCCCUAUGGGUUGUAAACUUCUUUUAUAUGGGAAUAAAAUGUUCCACGUGUGGGUUUUUGUAUGUACCCUAUGAAUAAGGAUCGGCUAACUCCGUGCCAGCAGACGCGGUAAUACGGGGGAUCCGAGCGUUAUCCGGAUUUAUUGGGUUUAAGGGGUGCGUGGGUGGAGUGUUAAGUCAGCGGUAAAAGCCCGGGGCUCAACCCCGGCGGGCCGUUGAAACUGGCUGUCUAGAGGUGGCGAGAGGUAUGCGGAAUGCGCAGUGUAGCGGUGAAAUGCUUAGAUAUUGCGCAGAACUCCGAUUGCGAAGGCAGCAUACCGGAGGGGAUCUGACGCUGAGGCACGAAAGCGUGGGUAUCGAACAGGAUUAGAUACCCGGGUAGUC